rnacentral:rRNA from 1 species
GAACGCUGGCGGCGUGCUAACACAUGCAAGUCGAACGCGAAAGGGACUUCGGUCCUGAGUAAAGUGGCGCACGGGUGAGUAACGCGUGGAUAAUCUGCCCUAUGAUCGGGAUAGCAGUUGGAAACGGCUGCUAAUACCGGAUACGCUCAAAAUGAACUUUUUGAGGAAAGAUGGCCUCUGCUUGCAUGCUAUCACGUAAGGAUGAGUCCGCGUCCCAUUAGCUUGUUGGCGGGUAACGGCCCACCAAGGCAACGAUGGGUAGCCGAUUUGAGAGGAUGAUCGGCCACACUGGAACUGAAACACGGUCCAGACUCCUACGGGAGGCAGCAGUGGGGAAUAUUGCGCAAUGGGCGAAAGCCUGACGCAGCGACGCCGCGUGAGGGAUGAAAGGUUUUCGGAUCGUAAACCUCUGUCAGAAGGGAAGAAACUACGUUGUGCUAAUCAGCAGCGUACUGACGGUACCUUCAAAGGAAGCACCGGCUAACUCCGUGCCAGCAGCAGC